GACGUAGGGCGCGAGCGUUGUCCGGAUUUAUUGGGCGUAAAGAGCUCGUAGGCGGCUUGUCGCGUCGACUGUGAAAUCCCGAGGCUCAACCUCGGGUCUGCAGUCGAUACGAGCAAACUAGAGUGUUGCAGGGGAGACUGGAAUUCCUGGUGUAGCGGUGAAAUGUGUAGAGAUCGGGAGGAACACCGGUGGCGAAGGCGGGUCUCUGGGCAAUUCCUGACGCUGAGGCGCGAAAGCGUGGGGAGCAAACGGG
rnacentral:rRNA from 1 species